AGUCAUUAUUGUGACUAUAUUAUUUUAUAAGGUAUUAAUAGUGUCUAAACCUAGAUAUCCGAUUCGAAAAUUUAGUGCAUUUUUUUCAUAAAAAGGACAUUGUAAUCUGUUUAAUACAAUUUAUAUAUUCUUUUAUAUAUUAUUUUGGAAUAUCAAUUAAUUGAUGUAAGAUCGCCUUAAAAUUGAUGUAAGAUCGAUCAUGUUAAAGAGAAUUUAUUGACUUUAAAUAAGUUUAGAAUUUCUAGAUAAAUAGUUAACAGUAUUAAAAUAUAUAAUGCUCAUAUAAAUUAAUUUAAAAUGACAUAAUUUCUUAUGUUUUAUAUAUAAUACGUACACCAAGGAGUCUAAACACGGCCCAAGGAGUCUAAACGCCAAUUUUAAAAGCCCU
rnacentral:rRNA from 1 species